GACAUUCCCACACGCACCUCCGCACUGGGAUAUGUGUUAGAAGCAGCGUCCUUCUGGAAAAUGUCUUUCUUUUCAUAUUUGGUAACUUCAGUUGGUAAACUACUCGAAGCAGACGCACGGCGGGACUUGCGUAACGGCACUGAUUCAUGAAGAGGGGAGGAGUCAGCUUGCCUGUCUGCCCACCAUCACCACCAUCACCAUCAUCAUCGUCAUCAUCGUCGUCAUCAGCGCUACGAAGCUGCUUCACGCCGCAUUAUUACUUUUGGUACGCGCUAGGCCUGCCUCAAACUCGUACCGUGAGUAAUAAUGCAGCGUGGCGGCCACUACCAGCCGCUCAGGACCAGCGCCCCUGGGCCUCGCUCCGCAGCGCACGAGGCCUCGUCCCAGCAGCAUAUGAGGCCUCGCCCGCACCGUACAAGGCCUCGCUCAGGAAGGGCGUACGGGACGCGACCUACACGGACUGCAGCGGACUGAGCUUUAAAGCGUGUUCAUAUUGGCCACAACACUUACACAGCACAUUUACGGAAACUUUUGUAUUGUUAAUUUAACAUUCACUUCUAUGUUGUGUUGUAGUGGAGGGUUGGGUUGGGUUAGGGUUGGGUUGGUUGGUUGGGUUGGUUGGGUUAGGGUUGGGUUGGUGAUGCAUUUGUAAACCUCUGAUAUAGUAAAGCAUUCUGACUGAGGGCAGUAGAGGAUAACUCUGACUCACCACACCAUAGAUAUAUAAAGCUUUAUAUAUAUAUAUAUAUGCACCACACAGGUCCCAAAAGCUCCUGAACCCAAAAUAGCCUUCUGAUUGGAACAGAGCAUUAGAACACCUUAUUUAUUUAUUUAUGGCAGAUCAAGGGGCGAAAGCCUUUCAAGUAUGUUUUAAUAUGGUCCCCUGUUAAUUUGAUCUCCCUCUCUUCCCAAGUAAUUUAUUUUAUUCAAGCUUCACAGCCCUGCUGUCUAGAUUGCAAUCUUCUCGGCCUAGUAAAUUGCUGUCUUCAUAUGCAGCAGGAUCCCAUUUGGGCACUUGAUUGGCUUCUCUAAAGGUCCUGGUGUCACUGGGAAAGACUGUCCUGUCUCAUUAGCUUCCUGUGGGCUAUUAAGAGAUCUGAAUCUUGAUUUUGGUUUUCAUAGGACACAAAUAACCACACAUGAUUGAAAGGGAUAAGAAAAAAAUACUAAAGAAUUAAUAAAAGCAUUGCAUGGAUUAAGUGCAUAAA